CAAACAUUUAUGUUGCAGGUUUUAGCUAUACUGGGCUGGAUAGCGGGUGUGUUGGGUCUACUCAUGGUGUGCACGAUACUGAAAGUCGCCAAGAGACCCGUCGGAAUCGCGGCCUUAAUCCUAUUGGGAAUAUCUGUUUUGCUGGUGAUUGCUGCAUUGAUUGUGAAAGUUAUCUACAACGACAAGUCUAAUACGGCGAUUGCACAGAUAUACGAAAAGAAAGAUAAAACUGUAACACUGGACACCUCAUUUCCGUGGUCCGUUCUUUUGGUCGGUCUAGGUGCUUUUUGCAAUCUUGUCGCUGUGGGAAUCUUGACACAAAACAUCUGCACAAGACCUAAUGAGCCAGAGGAGGUCAUUACGUCCACCAACGAAAAUCUUUAAACAUUAACAUUCUUUUUUUGUGUUUUAACUCACAUGGAUACUACGUGCUGAGCUUGAGCAUCUGUGAUCACCCUUUGUCCUUCGACCUUCGUGGUGCGUAGUGCUUUGUCGUGCGUCGUGAACAUUUACCAAUUGCAAAUUCAUGUCCCAUUUUAGUCCAAUCAUCAUAAAACUUGCUCAGAACCUGUGUUUAAAUGUUAUCUGGGCCGAGUUCGAAAAUGUUUCCAGCCCAUUGUAAAACAUGACCGUCAGUGACGGGGAAAUUUUCCUAAUAAGGCCCUAGUUAAACAAGUGAACACUCUAUAGGUCACUGUUUCUGCCCAAUAAUAAUGAUUCUUUCUACCUUGAGCGGUUAAAGGCCUUUGGCCGCGUGUGUUUUUGGCGCGAAUGGAACACAAUGUCAGCACUAUGAACAAACGAAUUAACUUCUUUAGACGUUACAUUUUACAACUAUGUUCAGGUGUAAUUCUGAUACGUUUUCCUUUUUGUACGAGAAUUAAAACGAGUGAUCGAAUCCAUUUCAACGUGUACCAUUUCGCAAUUUCACAUUUUAUUCUGUAUAUCUGGCAAUCCACCAUAUACAGGCAAUCAAAUCUAUAUAUAAUUCUUUAUCAUACAUCCACAUUGAUAUCUGCUUGAUAUCCUGUUGCCUUUUUUUUUAUCACGGUCAACAGGAAGUUCAUAUAUCAGUCAUGUCUGGAGGCUACUAAGUCUUAAGUACAAUGUUUUGUUUUAUUGUAAAACUGAAUCAGAUUUAUCAAAACAAACAAUUUGAUACCAAUAUGUAUUACAUUUAAUCCACAAACAACAACAAAAACAGAAAAAAGGUAUUUUACAAAUAGCAAUCCUCGCCGUUAUUUUAUUCUAAGCCUCGCCUGAUAUAUUACAAAACGAUCAGGCAGUAACCUGUUAUUCUCUAUGUAUCUUCCUGUGUUAGAGUUAAUUCGCAUUGAACGGAUUGGUUUGAAGAAAAAUGUGGUCUAAGACAGGUGUGUAUUUUAUCCCUUAUUCUGUUCAAUGUAUUCAUAAAUUAUUUUGCAUUGUAGUUGAAAUCGUUAGAUAUUGGUGUUAAAAUUGAUGAUGAGAUUGUAUGAUUUAUUAUAUGCUGAUGAUAUUGUACUUCUGGCCGAUAAUGAGCAAAACCUUCAAACACUAUUAAAUGUAUUAAAUGAAUGGUGUAUUAGAAAUAGCAUGGAUAUCAAUGUAAGAAAAAGCAAUAUUGUUCACUUUCGUACAAAAUCAAUGCCAAGAUCUAAUGUUGUGUUCACUGUGGUGACUAAGUGAUAGAAUAUGCAAAUCAGUAUAAAUAUCUGGGUUUAGUUUUGAAUGCGUUUUUGGAUCUUGAUGUUACUGCUAAGAUGGUAGCUCAGAGUUUAGUAGAGUUUAAGGUUUACUUAUUGCCAAAGUUAAAAUAAUUGGUGGUGUACCAUACGAUGUCUUCACUUUACGACUCAGUUGUUUGGCCAGUCAUUGCUUACGGGGCGGCUAUAUGGGGGCAUAAAUCCUUUCCAUGUGUUACAGCUGUCCAGAACAGGGCAAUGCGGUUUUAUCUAGGAGUGGGUAAAUACACCCCAAACCCUGGUGUUUCUGGAGAAAUGGGUUGGACUCCAGUCCCUAUCCGCCAAUGGAAAGUGGUGGCAAAUUACUGGGCCCGUCUUUCCACUACCAAUUCCUCUAGAUUAAACAAGCGCAUAGCACUCUGGGCUAGCACCCAAUCAGAAAGAUGUAAAAAUUGGUUUUACUUUGUGCAAAAGCAUCUAUCUCAUUGCAAUCUUAGACAUCAUUACGAUGUUUCUCGACCUAUAACCAUAGGUGUCAUUGUUAAGGACAUUGAACAGUUUAUGUUAAAUGAAUAUAAAGUAGAUUGGCUACAUAGAAGUACUAGUAACUCUAGUAAUGGUGUAUCAGGUAGAGGUGGAAAUAAGCUUAGAAGCUACUGUACAUUUCAGCAGAACUUUGGUGUUGAGAAAUAUUGCAAGUUAAUACUCACUAAGAGUCAUAGAUCGGCCCUGUGUAUUUAGGUGUGGCGUUGCUCCGAUUCGCCUCGAGACAGGCAGGUAUGAAGGUCUGCCUGCUGACAGACGCUUCUGUCCAUUUUGUAGAGAUAAUACACUUGAAAAUGAAUGCCAUGUAUUAUUAGAAUGUAGCAUGUAUAAUGAUAUCAGAUUUAAUCUUGUUGAAAAAGCUGUUGAUUCUACUCCAAAUUUUAUGAACAUGUCGAAUAUCGAUAAGCUGAAAUCCCUUUUAAUCAAUGAAGGAUUAACAAGAAUCUUAGCCAAAACCUGCUUUUUAAUUUUACAAAGAAGACAGUUUUACAUGUGUAAAUAAGUAGUAGUGUUGCAUGUUUUAUGUAAAUAGCAGCGAUAGUAUAUUUAUUAUCUUUGAUAUAUAAUGUACUUGUAUAUAGUAAGAUAUUCUAGUCAUAAAAUGAUAGUAUAUUGAGCAUCUUUGUGUAUAGAACCUAUUAUAUAGGAUUAAAGAUGAUAAAUUCUCUGUAACGCGCAAUUAUAGUUAUAUAGGUUUUAAUGAAAUUAUUUGUAUGUUAUAUAAAUGUUUCCUAUUAUUUUACCAUCUGAAAUAACUGUUUCAUUAAAAUACAGAAGGCCACUGUUAACUAGUCCACUUAGGAUCUGAUCCUAGCUGGUAGUCGCUCUUUUACAUCUUUUUUACUUUGCACAUUAGUGCCAAGUUUUACAAUCACCAGUGUUUUAUCAACUUCAAUAUUUUAUUGCAGGUGUUUAACAAAAUGUUAACAGGGGCAAUUUGGUUUUUAUGAUGUAUGUCAAUGAAUCAUGUAUUUGUAAAAAAGGAAAUAGUUUUAAUUGUAAUAUUUCAUACUUAAAAUGUCUAUUACAAAUCUAUAAGAUUGGCCAUGUUUGUAAAUUGUGUUAUUUGAUGUAUUUAAUCAUUUAGAUUAUUGUUGUUCAUCUUGGUUCCAUAAUUUAAAUAAAGCCCAAACGAAAAAAUUACAAAUUAUGCAAAAUUGUGUACAAUUAAAAAUGUUAAAUGUGGAAAACAGAGUGAAACAACUUAAAUUAAGUUAUAUGCAUAAAAUUUAUUAUGGAAAAUGUCCUUCAUAUAACUAAGAAAAAUCAUCAAGAUCUGGUUAAAGUAAUUUCAUAAUACCAUCUGUGACAAAUGCUUAUUUCAAAAAGACGUUCAAAUACGUUCAAAUCUACAGACUUGUUUUCCCUUCCAGAGGACAUCAAACAAGUGAAAAAUAUUGACAAAUUUAAAAGAAUGGUUAAGAAACAUCAACAAGACAGACAAACUGAGAGAAGUGAUGACAUAUAUAUGUAUUAUUGAUAUAAGAAUAUAACUGUGAUAUAGAAACAAUUUGAAUCUGUGAUAUAUAGCAUUUGAAUUGAAAUGUUUCCAUAUUUGAAAUAAUAUUUAUUUAGUAAAGCCUCAUGUUUGGUAAUUUUAUACAUUUUUUGUUAAGAUUGGUUUUGUUUUCGGAUUGAGACAAAACGGUAGGUUAUUCACAUGUUUUCUCUCAAUCAAACACCAAAGUAUAUGUGUGUAAGUAAGAUCAUAUAACAACUUGAUCAUUUUUUUCUCGUACUUUUAAU